GAAAGAACGUAGCGAACUGCGAUAAGUAAUGUGAAUUGCAGAAUUCAGUGAAUCAUCGAGUCUUUGAACGCACAUUGCGCCCCCUGGCAUUCCGGGGGGCAUGCCUGUCCGAGCGUCAUUGCUGCCCUUCAAGCCCGGCUUGUGUGUUGGGUCGUCGUCCCCCCCGGGGGACGGGCCCGAAAGGCAGCGGCGGCACCGCGUCCGGUCCUCGAGCGUAUGGGGCUUUGUCACCCGCUCGAUUAGGGCCGGCCGGGCGCCAGCCGGCGUCUCCAACCUUCUAUUUUACCAGGUUGACCUCGGAUCAGGUAGGGAUACCCGCUGAACUUAAGCAUAUCAAUAAGCGGAGGA
rnacentral:misc_RNA from 1 species